rnacentral:piRNA from 1 species
UCUAAAGUGUUCUGGUCAGGUGACAUUUUA